rnacentral:rRNA from 1 species
ACGGGAGGCAGCAGUGAGGAAUAUUGGGCAAUGGAGGCAACUCUGACCCAGCCAUGCCGCGUGAGUGAAGAAGGUUUUCGGAUUGUAAAGCUCUUUCAGAUGAGAAGAUGAUGACGGUAUCAUCAGAAGAAGCACCGGCUAACUUCGUGCCAGCAGCCGCGGUAAUACGAAGGGUGCAAGCGUUGUUCGGAAUUACUGGGCGUAAAGGGUGUGUAGGCGGUUGGUUAAGAUAGCGGUGAAAUACCGGGGCUCAACCUCGGAACUGCCGUUAUGACUAAUUAACUAGAGUGACAGAGAGGAUAUUGGAAUACCCAGUGUAGAGGUGAAAUUCGUAGAUAUUGGGUAGAACACCGGUGGCGAAGGCGAGUAUCUGGCUGUCAACUGACGCUGAGGCACGAAAGCAUGGGGAUCAAACAGGAUUAGAUACCCUGGUA